rnacentral:rRNA from 1 species
UUCCUACGGGGGGCUGCAGUGGGGAAUUUUGGACAAUGGGGGCAACCCUGAUCCAGCAAUGCCGCGUGAGUGAAGAAGGCCUUCGGGUUGUAAAGCUCUUUUGUCAGGGAAGAAACACCGGCUCUAACACAGUCCGGGAAUGACGGUACCUGAAGAAUAAGCACCGGCUAACUACGUGCCAGCAGCCGCGGUAAUACGUAGGGUGCGAGCGUUAAUCGGAAUUACUGGGCGUAAAGCGUGCGCAGGCGGUUAUACAAGACAGGCGUGAAAUCCCCGGGCUUAACCUGGGAAUGGCGCCUGAGACUGUAUAGCUAGAGUGUGUCAGAGGGGGGUAGAAUUCCACGUGUAGCAGUGAAAUGCGUAGAUAUGUGGAGGAAUACCAAUGGCGAAGGCAGUCCCCUGGGAUAACACUGACGCUCAUGCACGAAAGCGUGGGGAGCAAACAGGAUUAGAUACCCGAGUAGUC